UGGGGAAUUUUGGACAAUGGGCGAAAGCCUGAUCCAGCAAUACCGCGUGUGUGAAGAAGGCCUUCGGGUUGUAAAGCACUUUUGUCCGGAAAGAGAUCCUCUGGGUUAAUACCUCGGGGGGAUGACGGUACCGGAAGAAUAAGCACCGGCUAACUACGUGCCAGCAGCCGCGGUAAUACGUAGGGUGCAAGCGUUAAUCGGAAUUACUGGGCGUAAAGCGUGCGCAGGCGGUUUUGUAAGACGGAUGUGAAAUCCCCGGGCUUAACCUGGGAACUGCAUUCGUGACUGCAAGGCUAGAGUAUGGCAGAGGGGGGUAGAAUUCCACGUGUAGCAGUGAAAUGCGUAGAGAUGUGGAGGAAUACCGAUGGCGAAGGCAGCCCCCUGGGCCAAAUACUGACGCUCAUGCACGAAAGCGUGGGGAGCAAACAGGAUUAGAUACCCUGGUAGUCCACGCCCUAAACGAUGUCAACUAGUUGUUGGGGAUUCAUUUCCUUAGUAACGUAGCUAACGCGUGAAGUUGACCGCCUGGGGAGUACGGUCGCAAGAUUAAAACUCAAAUGAAUUGACGGGGUCAUAGCUGUUUCCU
rnacentral:rRNA from 1 species